GACGAACGCUGGCGGCGUGCUUAAUACAUGCAAGUCAACUUGACUUUAGAUAGCAAUAUCGAAAAGUAGGGUGGCGCACGGGUGCGUAACGCGUAGGUAAUCUGCCCUGAGGUCUGACAUAACCCGUCGAAAGGCGGGCUAACAUCAGAUGAUAUAUAAUCACGACAUCGUGGAAAUAUCAAAUCUUCGGAGCCUUGGGAUGAGCCUGCGUCUGAUUAGGUAGUUGGCGGAGUAAUAGCCCACCAAGCCUACGAUCAGUAGCUGGUCUGAGAGGAUGAUCAGCCACACUGGAACUGAGACACGGUCCAGACUCCUACGGGAGGCAGCAGUGAGGAAUAUUGGGCAAUGGGCGAAAGCCUGACCCAGCAACGCCGCGUGGAGGAUGAAGGCUUUAGGGUUGUAAACUCCUUUUGUGGGGAAAAGAAUGGAUGGUACCCCAAGAAUAAGUCACGGCUAACUACGUGCCAGCAGCCGCGGU
rnacentral:rRNA from 1 species